GGCCAAGGCAGGUCCUCCUCGCUGGGCUGCUAGUGGACGAGGGCGCUGGGCCAAGACUCCAGGUGUGCGAAGGACCCACAGGAGGCGCCUGGUGAUGGCCGCAGACCAACAAGUCUCCUGGUGAUAGGUGCAGACUGGGCUCUAACUCCCCGAGCAUCUUGUAGCACAAGCCGAGCCUCUUCGGAGCCCACUGGUCUUGAGCCCCUGGCGCUGGCUAACCUCGCUGCCCAGGAGAACCCGCGGCAGAGAGCGGCGUCCAGGUAGCAGCGCUCGGCUCUCACCUGCUUAGCCUGCGUUGUCUCCUCACGGCCUGUGGUUGUUGCUGUCCACUUACUCAAACGAGGCAAAGUUUCCUUUUAAAAGAUGAGAACCGAGGGCAAAGAAAACCAGGGCUCGGUCCACUGGGAGAGCUCGCGGGGGCCGACUGUCUUCAGCCCCACAUGUUGGAAUGUGAGAAGUCAGGUGUCACCCUGGGCGUGAGCGGCGCUCCUCCAGGCUGUUUGUGGGGUGCGGGUCUGUGCACCUUGUCCAGGCUUGACCUGCACGCGCCCCUGCUUGCACCGUUCCCCUUUGAGGGACUGAACAGAAUGGAGCUUGCAAAGCCCGAGAAGCCAUGCAAUGCUCGUUGCAGCAGGGCUUGUGACGGCAGUGAGACACAACCCUGAGUAAAAACAGGACGAAACUGACCAGAGGGCCCUUCCUCAGGUGUGACCGCACGGCCAGGUGUGGGAGAGAAGGAGGGAAGACGCACUACCAUUUCUAACUUGCAGAGCAAAGCUCCUGUGUGGUGCUUUUGUAAGAACACACAGGACACAGGUGACCGUGUUGCCGCUGGUCCUCAGAACUGGGCAGGAGACGAAGCGGAUGGCCUGGCUCUUACUUUGCGUUCCCUGGACUUUCCCCAUGUGCAUAUCCUAUUUCUAAAACUCAGGGAAAGCGGCGGGAUGGUGCUGACUCGGUCAGACUCCGGCUGUGCCUCCUGAGGCAAGGAAGGGGCCAGUUCACUCAAACUCCAGUAGACAGAACCUGCAGCCGGUACAUCCAGAGCCCGGGGCCCAGGGAGUGUAG
rnacentral:lncRNA from 1 species